GUGCUCGCCUCGGCAGCACAGAUACUAAAAUUGGAAUGAUACAGAGAUUAGCAUGGCCCCUGCUCAAGGAUGACACGCAAAUUCGUGAAGUGUUCCGUACUUAA
rnacentral:snRNA from 1 species